rnacentral:tRNA from 1 species
GGGGUUGGGGCUCAAUGGUAGAGCGCUUGCCUAGUAUGUGAGAGGCCCUGGGUUCGAUCCUCAGUAACCCCC